AGGGUCUUUCACUUCGAUAACCCUAUUUGACCGAGCUGUUCGUCUGGGAAAGGUGAAAGUCUGUUGAAAGUCGAAGACAGCCUUCAAGAAAUGCGACUACUUGUUGGAAAGGACGAGCAACUGAAGACAUGACACGGUUGAGAUAUUUUAGCCAUGUUUGAAAGCGGCAGGUUAAAUACAGAAAAAUCGUCGAUGACAUAAAGAUACAUGUCGAGCGUACGGACAGUGAAAGAACGCGAACUCUGGCAGUGGUGGGUGCUUACAAUUGUUUGUUUCCAUCAAACAAAUAACUUCUUCUUCAGUCUUUUUGGGUACAAGAGAUGAAGAUCAAGAA